GAUGAACGCUAGCGGCAGGCCUAACACAUGCAAGUCGAACGGUAACAGCACUUCGGUGGCUGACGAGUGGCGCACGGGUGCGUAACGCGUAUACAAUCUACCUUUUACAGGGGGAUAGCCCAGAGAAAUUUGGAUUAAUACCCCAUGGCAUAUAUUUAUGGCAUCAUAUAUAUAUUAAAGAUUCAUCGGUAAGAGAUGAGUAUGCGUUCUAUUAGCUAGUAGGUGCGGUAACGGCGCACCUAGGCUACGAUAGAUAGGGGCCCUGAGAGGGGGAUCCCCCACACUGGUACUGAGACACGGACCAG
rnacentral:rRNA from 1 species